rnacentral:rRNA from 1 species
UACAGAGGUCUCAAGCGUUGUUCGGAUUCAUUGGGCGUAAAGGGUGCGUAGGCGGCGCGGUAAGUCGGGUGUGAAAUCUCGGGGCUUAACUCCGAAACUGCAUUCGAUACUGCGGUGCUUGAGGACUGGAGAGGAGACUGGAAUUCAUGGUGUAGCAGUGAAAUGCGUAGAGAUCAUGAGGAAGACCAGUGGCGAAGGCG